rnacentral:ribozyme from 1 species
AAAAACUGAAAACGAAAAUUGGAGGAGGCAGAUUUGGAUGGUUCUCUGUGACUCUUCUCUUUAUGUUUCAUAUUACAGUAUUAUCUUCCUAAUUAUAAGUUGUAUGAG